CUGCUGGUGUUUUGUGAGUGAGCCCAGGAUAGGGGGAGAAAUCAAAUGGAAUCCAGCAGUUUCUGUGCGUCAUACAUCUACUAGAAUGAAUCUAAAUGACAAAACAGAAGAAAAUGCUGGAAGUUGAACAUCUAUGCGCAAACUGGAGGAAACCACUCUUUCCCACUGGGAACUGAGAUCUGUGUGCUUUGCCAAAGUGGUCCUUUGAAUCCAGAGAAUCCUAACGGUUAGAAUACAACUGUGAGUUGAGAGCAAGUGGACUGAAGUUAUCUUCUAUUAAAUAGUAUUUGAAUCUGGAUAACCUAGACCUAGGCAUCCUAGAUUCAGAUAGGGUUGAAUUCAAUAGACUGAAUCUUCUUUACAAGGGAAGGAGCCACUGCAAUUCCUUCUGAUGAACGUAUUCCAACUGACUCUCAAAAAAACAGCAUCCAGUAGAAAGCUUUGUGGGUUUCGAGAUGCAGAGAAAUUAAAUUCUUAUCUCUACUAUCAUCGUUGUCCCUACUAAAAAGACAUAUGUGGAUCUACAAUGCAGCAAGCACAACUCAAUAGGAAGACUGAAGGCUUAAGUUUACAGAAAUUUCUAUAAAAAGAAAAAGCUUUUUCUCCACAGAAAAAUAUUGAAGUUGCAUAAUACACGCUACAUUUCAGUCCAGAAGGCUUGACCAGAUCUUGGUGAUAUUUCUGUGCCAUCUGAGAAACAAGAAGCAAAGUCUGGGAAUGCAGUGAAUAACCACAGAAGUUUCCCUGGUUUGAGCAACUUUGUUAUGAAUCUGAAAUGUUCUCAGGAAUAGGGCAAAAUCUAGCAAAACUAGAGAAAUUGCUGCAACACAAUCAUGUUGUAGCUCCAAGGCUUGAAGCUGCUACAAUGGCCCCAGGGAAGGAGUUUAGGGGAGAGAAGAUUAGAGCUGACCAUGUGAGAAACUUGGUCCACCAGUGAAAGUCAUCCAAAGGGCAGGACUUUUCCAGGCUUCUAUCGUCAUAUAGUGACAACUCAUACAAACUUUUGGUUGAGGAAAUUACCUUGGUCUUCUGAAAUACCCACCCAGUACUUAAAAUGUGUAAUAGCCUGGACACUGAGCUCUACAAGUUAUUGUGGUAAAACUAAAUGACUAUCAGAUCACGUUUUUAGAUUUACGCUUAUGGACUACAUUUUUCUCUGGUGAUCUGAAGUCACUCCUGACAAGGCACAUUUGCAUAGCUUUUGGCGUGACUUCUCCCCACUGAAAGGGAAAAAUGAUUUAUUUUUCCUUGCUAAUUACAGCAUUAACUAUACUUAAAAUCAAGGAAAGGAAACAGGCUGAAGAACUGGCCCUAAACUACAUGUGGAAGGUAGGAUGCCAGGAAGCAUUGAAACACAUGGAAGUUCUGUUUUCUUAAGAAAGGCAGCGACUGUGAAUGCUUGAGGACAUCUCCACUGGGUGGUAAAGCUGACAGCAGAAAAUCAAAGAAAUCUUAGUGCUAAGGCAACAGUUUAACAGAAAAUAUAUGUCAGCUCUCCAUGCCCAAUGCAGAUUAUCGCUCAGAUAAGACUGUGAUAGAGGUUAAGAGUUCUUUCCCAGUACAGUGUUGAUACUGCAAAGCUUUAAUCUGUUGUUCUUUAGCUUUUUGGAUCUCUUGCUUCAGAACACAAACACUAACAAUUUGACAAAAGCUGUGUUUGCACAUUACGUCCACUUUCAAUCUAGCAUUUCAAGUUCAAGUUUAGACAUACGAGCACGCAAAGCAAAAUGAAGUGGAAAGCUAUGAUUUUAAUGGGGAUUUAAUCUCUUUUGUUCUUUGACCUUUUGUGGCUCUCAGAAUACAUCAACACUUCUGUCGCAUGAAUUGUCUUGUUGGCAUAGAACGUGCUGAUGCAGCCAAGCAGGCAUUCAAGUGCGAUGAGAAGUUUUAAGUUUUUACAGCAUUUUGCACUCUAUCUAGCAGUAGGUACUCCAUGCACUGCCUUGCAUGGUAUAAAUCCUGUGCAUCAGCACAGGCCUCAGCUGAGAUCCCUUGCACUGUGAUCCCUGCAACUGGAUGGAGAGAGCCUCAGUUGGAAAGCAACUGUAGGAAGCAGCUGCUCAGUGCAUUGGUUCUGGGGGAGCACCAAGCCUACUGAGCAUCUUCUCUGUAAAAGGCCAAAGGCAGAAUGAUACUUGAGCAAGUGCUCAAUCAGCAUCUCAAAACAAAACCUUUUCAAGUCUGAUUAUUAAGAAAAUAACACGCUGCAUUUUUAGUGCAUGUAAUGGGCAUUUUUUACAGCUUAAUUGGCGUAUUUUAUUUCCCCUUUCCUUUUAUGCUCCAAAGCCUGUUCAGCUAAGUGGAGCAUCUACAGCGUAAGUACUGUUCACCUACAGUGGAAAUCUCCUAGGUAAAAGUGUAGAAAAAACUGAGUCACUAGGAAAGGAACCCACCACAGAAGCAAUAAGCUGGAGACAGCAGCCUCCAUGUGUGGUUAGCUGUGUGAUGACAAGUCUUAUAUUCCCUGAGGCCAGACUCUUCAAAAGAACUGUGCUUCUGGGAUUUCUCAUCACAGGCUGUAUCCCACUCAUGCCCUCCUCUCAAAAAUUCAGCUAUGACUUAAUGAUACACUCCAAAUAAAUGAGAUUUCCUUCAGGCAGUUGUGAAUCCAAGCUGCAAUAGCUAUUCUGGAUAGCAGCAGAUAUAUCAGAUGUAAUAGGAACAUUAUAUGGAAGAAAAAGCUCUGAAGAUAAAAAGAGAUUACUUUCGUAUUAGGAAGCUAAGAGAUAGAACCAGUGCUUCACAUCAUUGAAGAUCACCAAAUGAAAAGUAGAUGAGUACUUACAGACUAUAAAAAAGACCUGCAGCUUGUAAGAUUCAAGUGCAAUAUAAAAGCACGUGUGUCAUCUUGGGAGUUUUUCAUUUAAGUGCAUCAGAUCCAGAGGGAGGAGGAUAAGUCAAACCUAUUGCAUGGAGAGAAUCAGCGUGAUUCAGGAGUAUCCUGGGAGUAGAAACCUAGAGAGCUUUCUGAGUUCAGUAGUAUUCAUGUUAUAGGCAGAGACCUGUGCAGGAGAGUUACCAAUGUGAUGGUGAAAAGAGGGAGCAGAAUGAAUCUGGGGAGAGAUCUGCUACUGCCCUGUGGGUCUGAGCAUCAAAUCGAUGAUAAAACGCUUCAGGUUCUUUCCUCACAUGGUGAAAUUCUUAAGGAUAGAUCUUGUCAUGGUUAGCAGGAUAAAUUCUUUCAUUCUCCUUCAGCACGGUGCUUUCAUCAGGCAGCUCUAGCUCCCCUUUCCGUACCAUCAGUUCCCAUGUUUACUGCAGCUAUGCCACAGCUGUCUUCAGAGCACCCUUCAGUCAGUUCUCAUUUUCACUUUUUGACUGAAUGUUUCUUUCUUCCAGACAUCUUGAGGCAUGAAAAAAAUUACAUGGCCAGAAAUGACCCUGCCUUAGGAAUGUGAUAUAUACACGUCCAUCUGAAAAUUAAGAUGUAUGACUUGCUGUUGUUUCGGAAUUCCCAGGGCAGAGGAGCUUGCUGGGCUGCCAGCUUUUGCCAUCUGUCAGGCAUAGUUCUCACACUUCAUGAGGCUGGCUUUCACACUGGUGCUAUUUUUCUCAACAGUUAAUAAAUCCUAACCAAAUCUCAAAGUGCUUCACAUAGCUAGCUGAAGAAUACCUCCGAUAAGGCGCUCUUGUGGAGCUUAAUAGACAUCCAAGGAAUGCCAUGACAGAUUUUCAAUUGAAGGAAAUACAGAUAAUGCUUCUUGGCAGUGAAUUCUGAAACUGUGUGAUUAAAUAAGUGAAUGUACUGCAGAAAGCCAAAAAAGAAAAUAUUAAAAUAGAACUUUUUUUUUUUUUUGAGAAAUUCAGCCACCUAUUUCAAGAUGUGAUUUAAUUAAGUAAUUGAAUCUUUACAGCUAGUGCUGAAUGCAGAUAGUACAGUGCAGCACAGUGGCAAAAAAAUAUAUAUAUAUAUCUGGCUUUCAUGUGCAUUUCUUCAAGAAUCACAAAAUUUGUGGAACAGCUUAUGGAAAACUACCAUUAGGUUCUAGAAGAUUGCCAUCCAUUUUCAUUUUUUUCUUUCACUGGAGACUGCUUUGUUGAACCAUCUUCAUAUAUAGGAACACAUGGGAUUCCCUUCUGUGUCACACCCAUAGGUCAUCCAGCAGUACAUCUUAGGCUGUGGCAAUGUGAGACGAACACAUGAGCCAAGGGUCCCUUUCCCUUGGAUUGCUCAGAAUUCAGAAUUGUUGUGUUAGGAAUGUUAUAGGAUUCAGGCUUGCCUAGUCUUUAUGAAGCCCAUAUAUAGAGACUUGCUGUUCUCACAAGUCUCUCAUGGCAUCAAGUUCAAGCAGCCCAGCUCCUGAUGUGUAAAUAGCUUUAUUUUCUCUCUUUGAAAGAGAAACUGGUUUCAUUGGGUACUUCACAACUCCUGUAUUGCAGGAUUUGCUGAAGAAUUGCACCUUCUGUGCUCACCCAAUUGCUCAUCUUCAUGAUUUUGUAAACCUGAAUUACCAAUAUCUCCAACCUUCUCUUCUCCAAACUAAAGAAAUCCGUCUCUCCUUACAAGACAGCCUUUUCAGUCGCUGAUCAUUUCACUUGCUCCUCUCUACUGACUUUGACUUUUGGAGAAGAGGAGAACAGGCUGCACACACAAUCCAAGAUGCAGUCUCUCCAAAGUUUAAAUAGUGCCCAAGUCUUUAUGUAACCAAUACUGAAGCUCAUCUGCCAGGUUUGACCUAUUCCGUCUCAUGAGGCUCUUCUAGAGUUCUUCACCAUUUGUUGUUGUUCAUACACUGUGAAAACUCAUUUCUUUAACACUGUCAUUUUGAAAUACAGUUCAGGUAUUUUCUGACAGAUCAAGAGGAGAAAGUUCUAC